GGCACGAUGGCGGAGUGGUUAACGCGAUGCCCUGCUAUCUUUGCAAGAUUGUGAAGGCAUUUCCUUCGGGAGCGCAGGUUCGAAUCCUGCUCGUGUCG